GCCAGAUCUGAGAAGCUGGAGCCAAGAUUGAUGCUGAAGCUGUGGGUGAACAGGAGGAAGGUCAGCUGCACAGGCAGGACAGGGUCUUGGAAGAUCCAGCACAUGGCUCUGCACCCAAUUCUUCCCUCAAUGUUGCAGGUUCAGACCCACCUGUGUGGAUUGCACUAGCAAUAUGUGGGAGCUCUGCAACCUUCCAUCCAAGCUCCGUCAAGACCCAAACCUUUUACCUCAAAGACCCAUGCACAUCAGGCUCAACAGCCCUGUCUCCCCUACCCCUGAGACAUGAAAAUGUCGUCUUCAUAAUGGAACGUCACUCCUAUGGUCUUCUUCCCAGGUGAGAUCUACAAGUCAGCAGACUUUGCGCCAGAUUUGGCUGAACAAACUGGUGGUGUUUUGCCAGACUCCAGAAGUCAGUGGGGGAGCAAGAGGGAGCAGGAGGCCAGCAGUCCCCUCAGUCCCCGUCUCGAGGUGUGCAGAGAGCAGCUGAGUGCAGCUAUCCUGCUGCUGCACAGCCAGCUGGGAGGCAGCUUCUCCCUUCCCCAAAAUCUCCUGAAGUAAACAGAGAUAAGUGCUGAUAA